GGAGAGGUGCCUGAGUGGCCGAAAGGAACGGUUUGCUAAAUCGUCGUAGGUGAAAACUUACCCAGGGUUCGAAUCCCUGUCUCUCCG
rnacentral:tRNA from 1 species